AACAGUUCUCGGGGCGGGGUGAAAGUCCCCACCGGCGGUAUCAGGGAAACCUGGAGCCCGCGAGCGCCUUGGUAAGUCGUGUUUGCCGAGGGUCAGCAGAUCCGGUGAGAAGCCGGAGCCGACGGUUAUAGUCCGGAUGAUAGAGAGCUUGG
rnacentral:ncRNA from 2 species